CAUGCAAGUCGAGCGAAUGGAUUGAGAGCUUGCUCUCAUGAAGUUAGCGGCGGACGGGUGAGUAACACGUGGGUAACCUGCCCAUAAGACUGGGAUAACUCCGGGAAACCGGGGCUAAUACCGGAUAACAUUUUGAACUGCAUGGUUCGAAAUUGAAAGGCGGCUUCGGCUGUCACUUAUGGAUGGACCCGCGUCGCAUUAGCUAGUUGGUGAGGUAACGGCUCACCAAGGCAACGAUGCGUAGCCGACCUGAGAGGGUGAUCGGCCACACUGGGACUGAGACACGGCCCAGACUCCUACGGGAGGCAGCAGUAGGGAAUCUUCCGCAAUGGACGAAAGUCUGACGGAGCAACGCCGCGUGAGUGAUGAAGGCUUUCGGGUCGUAAAACUCUGUUGUUAGGGAAGAACAAGUGCUAGUUGAAUAAGCUGGCACCUUGACGGUACCUAACCAGAAAGCCACGGCUAACUACGUGCCAGCAGCCGCGGUAAUACGUAGGUGGCAAGCGUUAUCCGGAAUUAUUGGGCGUAAAGCGCGCGCAGGUGGUUUCUUAAGUCUGAUGUGAAAGCCCACGGCUCAACCGUGGAGGGUCAUUGGAAACUGGGAGACUUGAGUGCAGAAGAGGAAAGUGGAAUUCCCUGUGUACCGUGAAAUGCCUAGAGAUAUGGAGGAACACCCGGUGGCCAAGGCGACUUUUCUGGGCCUCUAACUGACACCUG
rnacentral:rRNA from 1 species